UAAUAGCCCCGAGUGAAGCGGCAUCCUUUUAUUGAUUUUUCAGCCUUUUGAAGGAUGGAAAAUCAAGAAAAGAUAGAGCGGAAAGCGGGAGAAGAU
rnacentral:sRNA from 1 species